ACUCCUACGGGAGGCAGCAGUGGGGAAUAUUGCGCAAUGGGCGGAAGCCUGACGCAGCGACGCCGCGUGAGGGAUGACGGCCUUCGGGUUGUAAACCUCUUUCAGCAGGGACGAAUGUGACGGUACCUGUAGAAGAAGCACCGGCCAACUACGUGCCAGCAGCCGCGGUAAU
rnacentral:rRNA from 1 species